GCCGCGGUAAGACGUAGGGGGCCAGCGUUGCUCGGAAUUACUGGGCGUAAAGGGUUCGUAGGCGGUGCGGCAAGUCGGAAGUGAAAUCUCCGGGCUUAACUCGGAGGCUGCUUCCGAAACUGCCGUGCUGGAGUGCGGGAGAGGCGAGUGGAAUUGCAGGUGUAGCGGUGAAAUGCGUAGAUAUCUGCCGGAACACCCGUGGCGAAGGCGGCUCGCUGGACCGCAACUGACGCUGAGGAACGAAAGCUAGGGGAGCAAACAGGGUUAGAUACCCUGGUAGUCCUAGCCCUAAACGAUCAGGACUUGGGGUGUCCCGCGUUGGCGGGACGUCCCGGAGCUAACGCGUUAAGUCCUGCGCCUGGGGAGUACGGCCGCAAGGCUGAAACUCAAAGGAAUUGACGGGGGCCCGCACAAGCGGUGGAACAUGUGGUUCAAUUCGACGCAACGCGAAGAACCUUGCCUGGGCUUGAAGUGCCGGUGACGAGCGGUGGAAACAUCGUCUUCUCGCAAGAGACACCGGUAGAGGUGCUGCAUGGCUGUCGUCAGCUCGUGCCGUGAGGUGUUGGGUUAAGUCCCGCAACGAGCGCAACCCUUACUCUUAGUUGCCGCCCGCAAGGGGGAACUCUAAGA
rnacentral:rRNA from 1 species